GGGGUUGUGGCUCAGGGGUAGAACAUCUGCUUCACAAGCCGGAGGGCCCAGUUUCCAUCCCCGGAGUCUCCA
rnacentral:tRNA from 1 species